AGUGAACGCUGGCGGUAGGCCUAACACAUGCAAGUCGAACGGAAGCACAGUAAGAGCUUGCUCUUACGGGUGGCGAGUGGCGGACGGGUGAGGAAUACAUCGGAAUCUACUUUUUCGUGGGGGAUAACGUAGGGAAACUUACGCUAAUACCGCAUACGACCUACGGGUGAAAGCAGGGGAUCUUGGGACCUUGCGCGAUUGAAUGAGACGAUGUCGGAUUAGCUAGUUGGCGGGGUAAAGGCCCACCAAGGCGACGAUACGUAGCUGGUCUGAGAGGAUGAUCGGCCACACUGGAACUGAGACACGGUCCAGACUCCUACGGGAGGCAGCAGUGGGGAAUAUUGGACAAUGGGCGCAAGCCUGAUCCAGCCAUACCGCGUGGGUGAAGAAGGCCUUCGGGUUGUAAAGCCCUUUUGUUGGGAAAGAAAAGCAGCAGGUUAAUACCCCGCUGUUCUGACGGUACCCAAAGAAUAAGCACCGGCUAACUUCGUG
rnacentral:rRNA from 1 species